rnacentral:rRNA from 1 species
UGAAUACGAGACGCUAAGGCGUCGAAGUAGUGUAUGUCAUACUUCCAAGAAAAGCUUGCACUGUCAUAAGUAAAAAAUGCCUGUACCAUAACCGACACAGGUGGGUAGGUAGAGUAUACUAAGGGGCGCGAGAUAACUCUCUCUAAGGAACUCGGCAAAAUAACUCCGUAACUUCGGGAGAAGGAGUACCUUAUUCUAUAAGGUUGCAAUAACAAGAUCCAAGCAACUGUUUAUCAAAAACACAGGUCUCCGCUAAGUCGUAAGACGAUGUAUGGGGGCUGACGCCUGCCCAGUGCCAGAAGGUUAAAGAAGUCGGUUAGCAUUAGCGAAGCUGGUAACUGAAGCCCUGGUGAACGGCGGCCGUAACAAUAACGGUCCUAAGGUAGCGAAAUUCCUUGUCGGGUAAGUUCCGACCCGCACGAAAGGCGUAAUGAUUUGGAUACUGUCUCGGAGAGGGGCUCGGUGAAAUAGACUUGUCUGUGAAGAUGCGGACUACCUGCACCAGGACAGAAAGACCCUAUGAAGCUUUACUGUAACUUGAAAUUGAAAUUGGACUUUAUUCGCGCAGUAUAGGUGGGAGGUGUUGAUUAUAAUCUUGCGGGAUUAUUGGAGCCAUCAGUGAGAUACCACUCUUGUAAUGUUAGAUUUCUAACUUUGAACCAUUAUCUGGUCAAAGGACAGUUUCAGGCGGGCAGUUUGACUGGGGCGGUCGCCUCCCAAACGGUAACGGAGGCGUACAAAGGUUUCCUCUGAACGGGUAGAAAUCGUAUCUAGAGUGUAAAGGCAUAAGGAAGCUUGACUGUGAGACCUACAAGUCGAACAGGGACGAAAGUCGGUCUUAGUGAUCUGACGGCACUGAGUGGAAAGGCCGUCACUCAACGGAUAAAAGUUACUCUAGGAUAACAGGCUGAUCUCCCCCAAGAGUUCACAUCGACGGGGAGGUUUGGCACCUCGAUGUCGGCUCAUCGCAUCCUGGGGCGGUAGUACGUCCCUAGGGUUGGGCUGUUCGCCCAUGAAAGCGGUACGCGAGCUGGGUUCAGAACGUCGUGAGACAGUUCGGUCCAUAUCCGGUGUAGGCGUUAGAAUAUUGAGAGGAGCCUUCUUUAGUACGAGAGGACCGAGAAGGACAUACCUCUGGUGUACCAGUUAUCGUGCCAACGGUAAACGCUGGGUAGCUAUGUAUGGAGUGGAUAACCGCUGAAAGCAUCUAAGUGGGAAGCCCACCUCAAGAUAAGUAUUCUG